CCUCCCAUGCCUCUCAUUGAUGCACACUUGGGAGGU
rnacentral:sRNA from 1 species